rnacentral:lncRNA from 1 species
AGCUGAAGUUUGAACUAGGGAGAAGCGCCGCCUUCUAGUCGCAGCUCCUGUGCUGUAAACAAAGAGUCCUUUCCGCAGUCUGUUUACUGACACUUUUUUUUUCUGCUUUUUGUGGGUGGUUUUGCUUUUUAAAAUGGCCCCCAAGCGUAGUGCUGAAGCUCUGCCCAGUGUUCCUAAGCGAAAGAAGCCCGUGAUGUGCCUUACGGAGAAAGUCCGCGUGUUGGAUAAGCUCCAAUCAGGCAUGAGUUACAGUGCUGUUGGCCAUGAGCUCAAUGUUUACGAGUCGACAAUCCGGUACAUCAAGAAAAAGGAAAAGGAAAUUCACCGAUCUGUCCGUGAGGCCGCUCCGGAUGGUGCUGAAGUGACCUCCAUCGUGCGUGAUGAAGCUAUGACAAAGAUGGAAAAGAUGGAAAAGCGGCUAAAUUUGUGGAUUCAUGAGAUGUCAAUCGAUUAAAAAAAACAUAGUGGACAGCAUUGUUGUGAGGCUGAAAGCCAAAGAUACCUGUGGUCACGUUACCCAGAGUCAAAAGAAAUGCUAAGCCCUUCUCGGCGAGUGCUGGCCGGCUCGCGCGUUUCAAAAGGCGAUACGGGGUGAAAAAUGUUAAACUUGCAGGUGAGGCGAGUUCUGCAGAUCAGGAGGCUGCGAAAGAAUUUUAAAAAUACUUGCUAAGUGUUAUACAGGAAAAGGGUUAUGUGAAAGAGCAGGUUUUCAAUGCGGAUGAGACUGGCUUAUUUUACAAGGAUGUUGGCAAACGAACCUAUAUAAUGCAAACGGCCUCCAAAGCCCCUGGCUUUAAAUCAUGCCAGGAUCAUGCACCCUUGUUAUUGUGCGCCAAUGCCAAGGGCGACUAAAGUGCAAACUCCUAAUGGUGUACAGAACCCAAAAUCCACAAGCACUUAACGGGAAAUACGUGAACCAUCUGCCAGUCUAUUGGAGGUGGAACAAAAAAGUGUGGAUGAUGUCUGAUUGGUUCCACAACUGCUUCAUCCCAGAAGCUGAACACUGUCUCCAGGGCAGAAACCUUGAACACUGUCUCCAGGGCAGAAACCUUGCCUUCAAGGGUUUUUUGUUUUGUUUUGUUUUGUUUUUUGUUUGUUUGUUUGGGUUUGUUUUGUUUUGGCUUGGUUUUGAAACGGAGUCUCGCUCUGUCGCCCAGGCUGGAGUGCAGUGGCGCAAUCUCGGCUCACUGCAAGCUCCGCCUCCCGGGUUCACGUCAUUCUCCUGCCUCAGCCUCCCGAGUAGCUGGGACUACAGGCGCCCACUACCACGCCCGGAUAAUUUUUUGUAUUUUCAGUACAGACGGGGUUUCACCGUGUUAGCCAGGAUGGUCUUGAUCUCCUGACCUCAUGAUCCGCCUGCCUCGGCCUCCCAAAGUGUUGGGAUUACAGGCGUGAGCCACCGCGCCGGGCACCUUCAAGGUUUUGUUAAUUUUGGAUAAUGCUACAAUCCAUUGCUGCAAAGAACUCGAAAAUGCACACGCCAACAUAGGAGUUCUUUUUAUGCCCCCAAACACUAAGUCUCUCAUCCAACCCCUCAAUCGGGGCAUAAUAAAAGCAUUCAAGGCACACUACACAAGGGAGCUUUAUAUGAAGGCCUGUGAGGCUCUCAGGACCAACAAGGAAACCACCAUGCUGGAGUAUUGGAAGUCGGUCACUAGAUGCAACGUUAUUGAUUAUGUCAGCACAGCCUGGGAGAGCAUUGGUCAGGCUACUACCAAUAACUGUUGGGAAAAUGUUUGGCCAGACUGCGUGGAGAAUUUUGAAGGGUUUGAAGGUGUUACAGAAAAUAUAAAGAACACUGUCAGAGACAUAAUGCAUAUGGCACAGCAGGUAAGUGGAGAGGGCUUUGAUGACAUGAAGGAAGGAGAUGUGGAGUAAAUUUUGGCAGAGAAGGCAGUGGAACCAACCAACGAAGACCUGGAUGAGAUGGCAAAACAAGGCAUUGGAGUUGAUGGCCAUGAAAGUCGGCCCAAGACUUCCAGAAUUGUCCCUCUCACAGCAGCCAAAAUAUCAGAAUGGAGUUGUUCCUUGGAAAAAAUUUUUAGCGACAUGGAAGAGUGUGACCCUACGCUUGAUCGAAGCCUCAAAUUUAAAUGGCUGGCCUCCACUGCGUUUGCCCCUUAUACCGAGAUGCUUAAAGAUUUCAGGCAGAAAAGCCAGGCAGGCAAGGCUAAUGCAAUUUCUCAAGCCAGUUUGGGAGGGAAGAUUGCCCACUCCUUCAACAAGGGUCAAGAGCCAGACUCCUAAGGUAGAAAUGCCAGAGGUUGACCUGCCACCCUCUUCCUCUUCUGCAGAAUAAAUUUCACUCACGCCUCCCCUGGUUUCUGUGGGGCAAGCCAAGGUCGAGAGGUUUAACCACAUUGUGCAGCUCCAUCAACCAUAAGAUUUUAGUUGAUAUUUUUAUAAAACUUAGGAUGCUCCAUCUUUGAACUUUUUCCCUUUAUUUGUAUUGCUGUACUGUAGGGUAUACAGUAUGUGUGCAAAGUAGUGUAUGUGUUUACUGUGGGAACUGUACAGUAUGUUAUACUGUUUACUGUAUAUGGGAACUAUAUGUGUGUACUCUGUGUGUGCCAAUGAAAAGGUUGUACAGGC